GAAUCAUUGCUCUCUGUAAAUCUCUGCUUUCAUUUUCUCUACAGGUGUGUUACAUCUAACCUGUGGAGUCAACUCUCUCCCAUCCCCAUGAUGUCUAGCUCCUGCUUCACUUGAAAUGUGCGGCCAGCACUGGGAACUGCAUUAAUCAUUUCCAUCAACACACCCACUUGUCGAUGGAUGUCCAGAAUCAGCAGCAUCCACCACAGUCCAUUUUAUCCUGGGUGACGACCGAGCCAGUAUAGACUUUGUUUUGGUUUGAUUCUCCAUAAUGCUAAUGGGUUAGGUGCUCUUAGUUCUGCUCCUCAGCUGAGACCUCUCUGGCUUGAUUGGACCUGCCGGUAGUUACACUACCGCCAGCACAGCCCUCAGUCAUCAUUGGAGCAAUUAAGCCCCCCCCCCCCACCAUGUCAAGGUGGCACCCUAACCCAAAUGAUUCAUUGGAACUUAUGCCUCAAGUACCACAUCCCUGCAGUAAAAACUGGUGGGAUCACAAACCUGCAAAAGUUAUGGAGAAUGAGCACGCAAAGAUACUGUGGGACUUCUGAAUUCAGACUGGCAAAGUUCUGGAACACAACACACCAGACAUCACAGUUGUGGAAAAGAAAAAGGUUUGGAUCAUUGAUGUUGCCAUCCCAGGUGACAGUCGCAUUGAUGAAAAACAACAGGAAAAACUCAGCCGCUAUCAGGAUCUCAAGAUUGAACUUCAAAGACUCUGGCAGAAACCAGUGCAGGUGGUCCCGGUGGUGAUGGGUACACUGGGUGCCAUGCCAAAAGAUCUCAGCUGGCAUUUGGAAACAAUAGACACUGACAAAAUUACGAUCUGCCAACUGCAAAAGGCCACCCUACUGGGAUCUGCAUGCAUCAUCCGAAAAUACAUCACACAGUCCUAGACACUUGGGAAGUAUUCGACUUGUGAUUUUGUGAUACGAAAUCCAGCAUAUCUAUCUUGUUUGCUGUGUAAUAAUAAUAAUAAUAAUAAUAAUAAUAAUAAUAAUAAUAAUAAUAAUUUACUUAUAUCCCACCCUAUCUCGCCGUAGGUCCCAAGACCUUUGAAAGUCCAUAUGGGGGACCAUCUUGAUGCCAAAAUCAGAUAGCUAUUUAAGGAAUGGAUUCGUUGUAUGGCAUGCCAUGCUAUCUUCACAGCCAGAAGAAAUGUAGAACAUGGUUUGAAAGCAACAACAGAGGUUUAAUUUACUUUCAGACCUGAAAGGAUUUCUGAUACAGAAUGUCCACUCACAAGGAAUUCAGACAUAACCAAGAUACUUUAUCCUCUUUGACAACUAUUCAAAAAAUUCCCUUCUUACCCUGAUUGGUUCAGGAGCAUGCAAGCCAAGAUUAUCCCAUUGGCACAAGAGCAUUUCAUUUCCACCUUCCCAGGCCUUUAGGCUGGGUAAACAAUUGAUUAAUUCUUCUCUACUCAUUGAUCUUUUAAAAACUUAUUUGGGACACCUUUUCAAUGAUCUACACAUUUGGAUGUUGGUGAAAAGUUUCCCCCAGGAUAAUAGAAUCCUACUUUAAAAAGAAAUAGACGAUAUUGAAACUUGAUAUAUUAAUCCCUUGUGGUUUAAGUAUGGUCUUAGUACAUCCAUCUACUUGCAUUUUCUCAUACUCUGUAAGUUUCCGCUCUGUCAUACAGUUGUUAUGAUAAGGAUGUCCUUGAUGCACACGGAAAAAAAUCGAGACAGCUUAAUGCCAUGCCUCCUACUUGGUAAACUAUCUGUAGACAGGUACAAUCUUUGGACACAUUCCUUUCAGAAUUCAUACAGAAAGAAUUUAAAGUUGUAUUUUCAGCAUUACUUCGUGCUUUUAAAACUUUAUUUCGCUUUAUGUGAUUUUUUUUAAUUGUGAAAAAUUACAUGGAAUUUGAUGUUCCAGCAAUAGAUUUUGUAAAUUGUUACUUGCCUCUUGAUAUAAUUUCUGUUGACUAUGCAUUGUCCCCUUUUCCCUUUUUCUCCUAACAGCCCCUGAAGAAAGCUGAAUCUUCUUUAGAAGAAGUCUUAUCAUAGCCUACUUCAGGAAUGUUGGGGCCCUGCCUUGACCCUUCCCAUUUCAACUUCACAGCUACCUUAAAAAUUAGUUUAGAGCAACUGAUCACUACCACGAAGAAGUCGAUCCAUUCCACCAUCUACACUUUAAAGAAGCUGUCCCAAGUGUUGCCUCUAUGUGAGAGAGUUGGUCAAUGGCAUUCAUGGAAUUCUAUCAGUGUUCUGGUGCAAAACCACCCAUUUGGUGCUUGUAGAGCUUCAGGGUUUUUGCUGUUCAAGUAGCUCAUAGAAGCUGAGUGUCAGUAGCGUAAAUAUCCAUUAUUUGACCAAUUAAAAAUGACACAUCUUCUUUAGAAAUGUUUUAAACUUUUAUAAUCUGAACAUAUUGAAGUGCAUAAAUAUAUUAUCUGUUAUGAA